GCCAGGGCCACACCUACUUCUUUUCCUGAGACCAACUACAAAACGCAUUCUUGUCGGUUGUCUCGGUUUCGCUUAUAAAUCGAGACGCGGCAGUAGAUGUAACCACGGAAAAAGACGGAAUGAAACAGACCGAUCUGUUGUCAGGAUCCAUGGCCUCUGAUCCUGUCUUGACCGUGAAACGGAAGUGUGCCACAUAUUCUUGCUAAAAAGCUUAUGAGGAUAUAGGCUCAACGAAGGAAUGUAAACAGCGACACCCAGAUGUGGGUGUAAGGAUGGCGGGUUCUUUCUUCAAUGUUUCACAGUCAUUUGUUUAAGAUCAUCGAAUAAAGACGAAAAUCCACACCGAAA